rnacentral:rRNA from 1 species
CCUAGUGGCGAACGGGUGAGUAACGCGUGAGUAACCUGCCUCAUACAACGGGAUACCCGAGGGAAACUUCGGUUAAUACGGUAUAAGACCACACUACCGCAUGGUAGAGGGGUAAAAGGGGCAACCUGGUAUGAGAUGGACUCGCGUCGCAUUAGCUAGUUGGUGAGGUAACGGCCCACCAAGGCGACGAUGCGUAGCCGACCUGAGAGGGUGAUCGGCCACAUUGGGACUGAGAUACGGCCCAGACUCCUACGGGAGGCAGCAG